UAUCCUCUCAGUUACUGAAUCGAACCUCUCUCUCGGCAAGCCUUCGCAUGUUGCCUGCCCCGUCCCCUGCUUCCCCGCCGUUGCCGCUAUCUCCUCCCGUCGACGGCUCGCCCAUACCCUCCACAGGACCCAUCUCGCCGUUCCUUGCGCAGAAAUAGCGCGCCGCUCCAUGGAUGUCCCGCUCAUCGCCGCAGUCGGUCACGUGGGGGCAUGUACGCUCGCUCCGCCCAGAUCAUCGAUGCCCCCCGACGACUCCAGCUAGCAGGCUGCUCCGAGACCCCUUGUCGACCCCCAUGGAGGUGGCGGGCGUGCCGAAGCCGCGGCUGGAGGAGGCCAUCGACUGCGUCAUGAACCCGCACAUUGGCGCCCCCGUUACCGUGGUGACAAGCACUUCCACUUCCACAACUCCGGCCUCUAGACGCAGAGCGUACUCUACGUGCAGAAUAAGUACAUUACGACGGGAUGUACUUUGCAUUUUGGUGACAAGAAACAUGGACAAUUGGGGACGGGUUCACUAAAGACAUGAAUAACAUAGGUGUUGGUGGAAGGCACUUCAGUUGUACGAGGCGGGGUUGCCACUCUAAGUCGUACAAAAUGGCUAGUAAUAAAGUUAAAAAGGUUGACGCCUCUGCUUAGAUGCUAGAUGGGCCUAUACUGUUGAGUUUCCAUAUUUUAGCUUUAUUUUAAUGUUGCUUGCCUUUCUUCACUGUUGAGCUCCAUGAUGAACAUUGAAUAUUUAAACCUAAUUUGAUAGUUUAGUUUGGCCGUGGGGAUCAAACUGUAUACCUGGAUGUGCGGUACCAUAAUGAACUUUGCUACUGAGAUAUAAGAUGAGAGAUUCAACAUAAACAUGAAAAAUUUCAAGUUAUCUAGAUACAACAACAUUGAUGCAAAUAAAAUGUGAAAUUUUGCACCUGCUUCACCCUUCUAAAACAUCUCGAAAGACAAUGCUUUUGGUGCUUUUCCCGGAUUUAUCAACCUCAUAAAAUACAUUCAGCUCUGAAAUUUUGCAAUUCCAUGAAAGGUAUAUCUACAUUGAUUAGGCUAGAAUAAUCAUGACCGGACACACAAGGCCUCCUAGGGAAUCUGAUAUGAGGUAAGAUUCUCACAUGAUGGGGAAGUUCUUCAAAGAAAGUGCAUCCAGCUGGUGAUCCGCAUCAGAGUAAAAUACAUACAAUUUGAUACCUUUUCUGGUGAUCCACAUGAUGGGGGAAGUUCUUCAAACAAAGUGCACCUCAAGUUUCCCUGAUGAUUCUCAUGAUAAUAAAAUACAUACAAAUCAGGAAAGGAGUUCUCUGCCAUAACAAUGGUUAAAGGUACCCUUUAUAUGCACGCACCAGAAAGCAUGGUUGGGCGAUUAGGAUUCUACCGAUAUUGUUGGUCCGCAAUGAUGGAGUUUCCUUUAAAAUGUGAGAGAUCCCUGAAAUGCUGCAGUUUCCUUUAAAAUGCUGCAGAUUCCUUUGAUUUGGCUGGGUGGUUUCCUUUCCUGUAACCCUGACAUAAUGGCGUGUCGAUAAAUCUGUGUGUACUUUCCUUUCCUGUAGCCAUGAAUAAUUUCGUUGCUGUAGAGAUGUUGUGGCGCGGUGAUUAUGUGCUGGACUUUCCUGGAAUGGUUAUGUGGUUUCC